rnacentral:misc_RNA from 1 species
AAAAAAUAUUUGGUCUCGUGCCAAAUUUACACCUGUGUGCACCAUUGUCUGUAUUUGGUAGCUCGAGCGCGCUCCGGAAGCUCAACACUUCCAUUAGGGGCGCCUACCCUUGCGGGUCACAUCCCGCUUGGGUUGGGCUACCGCCUUUUUUUUUGAAAAACCUUUUUUGUUUUGUCUUUUUGUCUGAACGAAGAGUUGAUCUUAAUUGAUUAAUGAUUUGAAAA